rnacentral:rRNA from 1 species
CGCCUUAUACUCCUACGGGAGGCAGCAGUGGGGAAUAUUGCACAAUGGGCGAAAGCCUGAUGCAGCGACGCCGCGUGAGGGAUGAAGGCCUUCGGGUUGUAAACCUCUUUCAGUAGGGAAGAAGCGCAAGUGACGGUACCUACAGAAGAAGCACCGGCUAACUACGUGCCAGCAGCCGCGGUAAUACGUAGGGUGCGAGCGUUGUCCGGAAUUAUUGGGCGUAAAGAGCUUGUAGGCGGUUUGUCGCGUCUGCCGUGAAAAUCCGGGGCUCAACUCCGGACUUGCGGUGGGUACGGGCAGACUAGAGUGUGGUAGGGGAGACUGGAAUUCCUGGUGUAGCGGUGAAAUGCGCAGAUAUCAGGAGGAACACCGAUGGCGAAGGCAGGUCUCUGGGCCACUACUGACGCUGAGAAGCGAAAGCGUGGGGAGCGAACAGGAUUAGAAACCCCGGUAGUCCACGUACCA